GUGCCUGUGGCUCAGAGGCCAUAGGGCGCUGGCCUCAUAUGCCAGAGGUGGCGGGUUCAAACCCAGCCCUGGCCA
rnacentral:tRNA from 1 species